rnacentral:lncRNA from 1 species
UUGAUGGUUGUAGUGAAUGAGUUUGUUCUCACUUUGAGGACUCAUUUUCAUGAGACCUUGAUGUGAAAGAUGAAAUUGUCUUUCAUGUUCAUUUUACAAUUUUUUGUCUCUGUUGUGGAAGAUAAUGUAUUUCUUACAUGCAGUUUCAUCCUGGCAAAUUGAACAGAUUUUACAGGCAAGGACCUCAUUACUAAAUGAUAAGCUACAAAUGGAAAAAAAAAAUUUUUACCAUGGUUACAGGAAUGUAUGGUGUCAAGAUGGUGUUUCAUUCUCACCUAUAGCCUCACCACUAUAGAAUAAGCAGCAAACAAAAUAUUAAAUCAGUUACCAUGGUUACAGGAAUGUAUCAUGGUUGCAUGGUGUCAAGAUGGUGUUUCAUUCUCAUCUAUAGCCUCACCACUAUAGAAUAAGCAGCAAACAAAAUAUUAAAUGAGUUACCAUGGUUACAGGAAUGAAUGGUGUCAAGAUGGUGUUUCAUUCUCACCUAUAGCCUCACCACUAUAGAAUAAGCAGCAAACAAAAUAUUAAAUCGGUUACCAUCAUUACAGCAAUCUCGUUCAAGCCAAUCACAGUUCUCGCUACUGCUAAACAAAGAUAUCAGGACAUGACAUUAUGUGUCACAUCAGAAUGACCUUCCAUACAACCUGUCAGAGUUUUGCUUACAUGAGGUGUGUAUUUUCUAAUCAAGCAUCCUCUAAAAGUUAACAUGGGGGUUUCCUGAUGACAUUUCUGGGCCAUACGAUUAUCCGACAAACAUGACUUGUAAUUGGAUGUCCUCUGAUGUUUGUUUAGUAGUAGAGAGAACUAAGAUUUGAUCUUAAUGAUGUUGCAGUUACAGGAAAGCAUUUUAGCACUUAUUUCAAGGACAGAAUUUAUAUUUUAAUGUGAUGCCUGAUUAUUGUGACCACUAUAUUGAGUGUUUUUUACACUGAAGUCACUGACUCUUAUAGUAACGUCUCAGAUUGGAACAGAGAAGUGAUGCUAGAAUUGGGAAUAAAUUAUGAAUAAUUUAGUAUUUGUUAUAGCAGUUUAUAAAAUAGUUUUGAAAUGUGGCCUGUCCAAGGACUGGCUGUCCAAAAAAGUGACCUGUCCUGAACAAACACAGCCAGUCCCCAAAACUAAAACUCUUCAUUCAAACCAAGUUUAUUCUUUCAAAUAUUUCCAUCGACCAAAGAACGACCUUACUUAUUUGAGAGACUGUUCUUCAGAAAAACAGACCGUCAAGGACGAUGGGACGGGCUAUAUUUUAUACACUGGUUACAGUAUAUGCUGACAGUGCCUUUGACAAAAUAAUAUAUUUUAUUAUGGUUUUAUUAUGACCAUGAGUUUUUUCUUUUCUCAUGGAAAUAUGUACAAGUUCUGAAGAUCAUUACAAUGUUUAUACUGUAGGGCCUAUCAGAGUUAUCUUUAUAUGUUCCACAGUGACCAUUGUGUAUUUAGAGAUUGUUAUAUGAACAUGACUAUGUCAUGCUGGUUUUUACAAAACUAGUGUCAGAAUGCUUUUUUUUCUGGAACGAGAACAAGAUAAUACAUGACGUAUUACACAUAAAACUAUGGCAUUAGAAAGUGUCAUCAUUCCGUAAUCAUUCAUUCAUGAUCAUUGUAGAAAACCAAAUCACAAGUUAUAAUGUAUCUGUGAGCUCAUGCCAACCUUUCAUCAUGAUAUGAUUCAAAUGAUGUCAACGACGCACACUUUUUUUUUUUCUAACCCCAUAGCUAAUAAAUAUUGUUAUGACACUGAACAUUAACCAGUACAAAAAAAAAUACAUAAUGUGUUUAGGGUAAAGACGGGUUGUCGUCAUCAAGUAUCUCUGUAAUGCAAAAAUUAUAUUUGUUUCUGUUUCUGUAAAUGUUUAGUUUGUAAUUAAUGUCAUACGUGUAUUGUAUAUACAAAUAAACAUAUAUAGUACCA